rnacentral:rRNA from 1 species
AGUGAACGCUGGCGGUAGGCCUAACACAUGCAAGUCGAACGGCAGCACAGUAAGAGCUUGCUCUUACGGGUGGCGAGUGGCGGACGGGUGAGGAAUACAUCGGAAUCUACUUUUUCGUGGGGGAUAACGUAGGGAAACUUACGCUAAUACCGCAUACGACCUACGGGUGAAAGCAGGGGAUCUUCGGGCCUUGCGCGAUUGAAUGAGCCGAUGUCGGUUUAGCUAGUUGGCGGGGUAAAGGCACACCAAGGCGACGAUCCGUAGCUGGUCUGAGAGGGUGGUUCCACACACUGGAAGUGAGGCACGGUCCAGACUCCUACGGGAGGCAGCAGUGGGGAAUAUUGGACAAUGGGCGAAAGCCUGAUACAGCCAUACCGCGUGGGUGAAGAAGGCGUUCGGGUUGUAAAGCCCUUUUGUUGGGAAAGAAAAGCAGCAGGUUAAUACCCCGCGGUUCUGACGGUACCCAAAGAAUAAGCACCGGCUAACUUCGUG